AGAAUCAACGCUGGCGGCGUGCCUAACACAUGCAAGUCGAACGAGAAAGUGGUAGCAGUACCAUGAGUAAAGUGGCGCACGGGUGAGUAACACGUGACUAACCUACCCUUGAGUGGGGGAUAACUGAGGGAAACCUUAGCUAAUACCGCAUAAUACCCACGGGUCAAAGGAGCAAUUCGCUCGAGGAGGGGUCGCGGCCGAUUAGUUAGUUGGCGGGGUAAUGGCCCACCAAGACGAUGAUCGGUA
rnacentral:rRNA from 1 species